GACGAACGCUGGCGGCGUGCCUAAUACAUGCAAGUAGAACGCUGAAGGAGGAGCUUGCUCUUCUGGAUGAGUUGCGAACGGGUGAGUAACGCGUAGGUAACCUGCCUGGUAGCGGGGGAUAACUAUUGGAAACGAUAGCUAAUACCGCAUAAGAGUAGAUGUUGCAUGACAUUUACUUAAAAGGUGCAAUUGCAUCACUACCAGAUGGACCUGCGUUGUAUUAGCUAGUUGGUGGGGUAACGGCUUACCAAGGCGACGAUACAUAGCCGACCUGAGAGGGUGAGCGGCCACACUGGGACUGAGACACGGCCCAGACUCCUACGGGAGGCAGCAGUAGGGAAUCUUCGGCAAUGGACGGAAGUCUGACCGAGCAACGCCGCGGGAGUGAAGAAGGUUGUCGGAUCGUAAAGCUCUGUUGUAAGAGAAGAACGAGUGUGAGAGUGGAAAGUUCACACUGUGACGGUAUCUGACCAGAAAGGGACGGCUAACUACGUG
rnacentral:rRNA from 1 species